rnacentral:rRNA from 1 species
AGCCCGCUCUAGCCCAAUCACGUCACAAUACAAUUCAAUUAGGUCAAAACCUACUUCCCUACCAAAACCAAAACAUUCUAACAACUUAGUAUAGGCGAUAGAAAAGACCAUUCGGCGCUAUAGAGAACAUGUACCGUAAGGGAAAGAUGAAAUAACAAUGAAAACAAAAGCAACAAACAGCAAAGAUUAACCCUUGUACCUUUGGCAUCAUGAUUUAGCAAGAACAACCAAGCGAAGCGAACUUAAGCUUGUCACCUCGAAACCCAAGCGAGCUACUUACAAGCAGCUACCUGAGCGAACCCGUCUCUGUUGCAAAAGAGUGGGAUGACUUGUCAGUACAGGUGAAAAGCCAAUCGAGCUGGGUGAUAGCUGGUUGCCUGUGAAACGAAUCUAAGUUCCCCUUUAACUCUGCUCAAUGGAGAUUCCAUCCUAUCCCUUAUGAAGCGAGUCAAGAGCAAUUUAAAGGGGGUACAGCCCCUUUAAAAAAGAACACAGCCUCCUAUAGCGGAUAACCCCCUCCCCACUACAAUACACCUCCCCCCGUGGGCCUUAAAGCAGCCAUCAAUAAAGAAUGCGUCAAACCUCAGCACAUAAAAAUCCGAAAAUCAACGUGACUCCCUCACCCCUAACAGGCCAACCUAUGUACAAUAGGAGCAUUAAUGCUAAAAUAAGUAACUAGGCUUACACCCCCUCUUAAGCGCAAACUUACAUCCUACAUUAUUAACAGAACCCCCAACCAAUACUACUAAACACCAACAAGACUCCGUAUUAAAAUACCCAAAUACUGUUAAUCCAACCCAGGAGCGCCUACUAGAAAGAUUAAAAUCUGUAAAAGGAACAUGGCAACCCCAGGGCCCGACUGUUUACCAAAAACAUAGCCUUCAGCCAAACAAGUAUUGAAGGUGAUGCCUGCCCAGUGACAUACGUUUAACGGCCGCGGUAUCCUAACCGUGCGAAGGUAGCGCAAUCAAUUGUCUCAUAAAUUGAGACCUGUAUGAAUGGCUAAACGAGGCCCUAACUGUCUCUUACAGAUAAUCAGUGAAAUUGAUCUUCCCGUGCAAAAGCAGGAAUGAACCCAUAAGACGAGAAGACCCUGUGGAACUUAAAAAUCAAUGACCACCCCACACAAACUAACCUACCAGGCUUAACUAUCCUACACACUGGCCCACAUUUUUUGGUUGGGGCGACCUUGGAGAAAAGCAAACCCUCCAAAAAUAAGACCACCCGUCUUGACCUAGAGCAACCCCUCAACGUGCUAACAGCAACCAGACCCAAUAUAAUUGACCAAUGGACCAAGCUACCCCAGGGAUAACAGCGCAAUCUCCUUCAAGAGCCCGUAUCGACAAGGAGGUUUACGACCUCGAUGUUGGAUCAGGACAUCCUAAUGGUGCAGCCGCUAUUAAGGGUUCGUUUGUUCAACGAUUAACAGUCCUACGUGAUCUGAGUUCAGACCGGAGCAAUCCAGGUCGGUUUCUAUCUAUGCUUAUACUUUCCCCAGUACGAAAGGACCGGUAAAGUGGGGCCAAUACCACAAGCACGCCCCCCUUCAAAGUAAUGAACCCAACUAAAUUACAAAAGAAGCACCACUUACUUUUAUCACCCCUAGAAAAGGACA